rnacentral:rRNA from 1 species
GGUGAACGCUGGCGGCGCGCCUAACACAUGCAAGUCGAACGGAGAAAGGGGAGCUUGCUCCUUGAGUAUCAGUGGCGAACGGGUGAGUAAUACGUAGGGACCUACCUCACGGACAGGGAUAGCUACUGGAAACGGUAGGUAAGACCGGAUAAUAUCGAGAGAUAAAAGCAGAGAAGCGCCGGGAGAGGGGCCUACGACCCAUCAGGUAGUUGGUAGGGUAAAAGCCUACCAAGCCGACGACGGGUAGCCGAUGUGAGAGCAUGAUCGGCCACAAGGGAACUGAGACACGGAUCCUACUCCUACGGGAGGCAGCAGUGGGGAAUAUUGGACAAUGCACGGAAGUGUGAUCCAGCGACGCCGCGUGAAGGAAGAAGUCCUUCGGGAUGUAAACUUCUGAACUUACAGAAUAACAGCAUAGGGGUACCUAUGCAUGAAGGUAAGUAAGGAAAAGCCCCGGCUAACUACGUG